rnacentral:lncRNA from 1 species
UCUUCUUCAACAACCCCUACCCCACAUUCCUCCUCCUCCUCCUCCUUCUUACAGAGACUUGCGGGAGGCUUGACCUGGAUAGGCAUGGAGGAUUCUGAGCAGAGUGGUCCGGAGAAUAAGAAUGACGAUCCCGUUUAUCCCCUCCCAAAAUUACCAUUGACGGACUCCAAAAUUACAAUAUUAAUUCCACCAACGAUCAGCAUUGACGGACACAUCCUUCAAACCACCGCCUCCUCAAUUUCUAUUUAGAAUACCAUUAAAGACCUUCAUUUCCACCAUUUUUUUUUAGAUUCAUCACCAUUCAUGGUGAAACUUCUUUCAAUAUAAAAUGCUCAACGCAAUGCACAUAAAAACACCGCACUCAUAAUUCAAAGGUUGCCUCAACAAGAUUAUUCAUAGAUGAGAUAUACAAUCGUAUAGCAGAAAGAAAAGUCGCCGAAAUUUAAUUUUUUCGAUGAGAGUGGAAUGAUUUUAAUCACAAUUUUUUUUUGAUGAGAGUGGAACUCCCACACUUGCUCCUAAAAAAUGGGUAUGAAUUGAUAUUCUUAAUGAGCCCACAUUUUUAUACAUCUAAUGAAUUUGUUAAUGAUGAAUUUUUCUAAAGAAAUGAAUUUGAUUGUUGAGGCAGUGAAGGGGAGGAGCUAAAGGGCUAUGGCUAGGAAAAGAAGGGAAGGAUGGGGGAUUUUUUUUUUUUC